rnacentral:misc_RNA from 1 species
AUUUUGUCUAAAGUAGUCCCAGUCGAGUAUCAAAUACUUGUUAAACUGUAUGACGAGAGAGUACAAAAGGAAAACAAAAGUUUAGAAGUUAAUUAGAAGCAAUGUUGUUCUAAGCGAGAAGUUCCAUGAGGCUGAAGCGAAAAGUGAGAAGUGAAGCACAUGCUUCUUUCAACUGAAUCACACAGUAAAUAAAUGAAAAUCAAAUCAAAUUGCAAUUAACGUUAGAAAUUCAAGUACCAAAUAUACAAUAUUGCUG